rnacentral:tRNA from 1 species
CGAGAGGUGUGAGUUGGUUGGCUUUUGGAUUCAUAACCCUGAGGUCGAGAGUUCAAAUCUCUCUCUCGCUA